rnacentral:rRNA from 1 species
CGGACGGGUGAGUAAUGAAUCGCUAACGUGCCCCGAUCCCUGGGAUAGCCGGCCGAAAGGCCGGGUAAUACCAGAUGACGUGACGCCAGGGCAUCCUGGUGUCCCCAAAGGGAAACCGGUCCGGGAGCGGGCGAUUUCGUAUCAGCUAGUUGGUGGGGUAACGGCCCACCAAGGCGACGACGCGUAGCUGGUCUGAGAGGACGGCCAGCCACAUUGGGACUGAGACACUGCCCAG